AGAGUUUGAUCCUGGCUCAGAACGAACGCUGGCGGCAGGCCUAACACAUGCAAGUCGAACGCUCCGCAAGGGGAGUGGCAGACGGGUGAGUAACACGUGGGAAUCUUCCUAUUGGUAUGGAAUAGCUCAGGGAAACUUGGGGUAAUACCGUAUAAGCCCGAGAGGGGAAAGAUUUAUCGCCAAUAGAUGAGCCCGCGUCUGAUUAGCUAGUUGGUGAGGUAAUGGCUCACCAAGGCGACGAUCAGUAGCUGGUCUGAGAGGAUGAUCAGCCACACUGGGACUGAGACACGGCCCAGACUCCUACGGGAGGCAGCAGUGGGGAAUAUUGGACAAUGGGCGCAAGCCUGAUCCAGCCAUGCCGCGUGAGUGACGAAGGUCUUCGGAUUGUAAAGCUCUUUUGGCGGGGACGAUAAUGACGGUACCCGCAGAAUAAGCCCCGGCUAACUUCGUGCCAGCAGCCGCGGUAAUACGAAGGGGGCUAGCGUUGUUCGGAAUCACUGGGCGUAAAGCGCACGUAGGCGGAUUUGUUAGUCAGGGGUGAAAUCCCGGGGCUCAACCUCGGAACUGCCUCUGAUACUGCAGAUCUCGAGUCCGAUAGAGGUGAGUGGAAUUCCUAGUGUAGCGGUGAAAUGCGUAGA
rnacentral:rRNA from 1 species